ACACGUAGGGGCCUGACGUUGUUCGGAAUCAUUGGGCGUAAAGGGCGCGCAGGCGGCCGUCCAAGUCCGGUGUUAAAUGGUCGGGCUCAACCCGAUCAUGCGCUGGAAACUGGGCGGCUGGAGUCCCGGAGGGGAUGCCGGAAUUCCAGGUGUAGGGGUGAAAUCUGUAGAUAUCUGGAAGAACACCGAGGGCGAAGGCAGGCGUCUGGACGGAGACUGACGCGGAGGCGCGAAGGCGCGGGGAGCGAACAGGGUUAGAUGCCCUGGUAGUCCGCGCAGUAAACGAUGCGCGCCAGGUGUCGGGCGGCAGCGCCCGGUACCGGAGCAAACGCGAUGAGUGCGCCGCCUGGGGAGUAUGCCCGCAAGGGUGAAACUCAAAGGAAUUGACGGGG
rnacentral:rRNA from 1 species